rnacentral:rRNA from 1 species
UGCAAAGUCGGAACGGUUAGCACAAGAGAGCUUGCUCUCGGGUGACGAGUGGCGGACGGGUGAGUAAUGUCUGGGAAACUGCCUGAUGGAGGGGGAUAACUACUGGAAACGGUAGCUAAUACCGCAUAACGUCGCAAGACCAAAGAGGGGGACCUUCGGGCCUCUUGCCAUCAGAUGUGCCCAGAUGGGAUUAGCUAGUAGGUGGGGUAACGGCUCACCUAGGCGACGAUCCCUAGCUGGUCUGAGAGGAUGACCAGCCACACUGGAACUGAGACACGGUCCAGACUCCUACGGGAGGCAGCAGUGGGGAAUAUUGCACAAUGGGCGCAAGCCUGAUGCAGCCAUGCCGCGUGUAUGAAGAAGGCCUUCGGGUUGUAAAGUACUUUCAGCGGGGAGGAAGGCGGUGAGGUUAAUAACCUCAUCGAUUGACGUUACCCGCAGAAGAAGCACCGGCUAAACUCCGUGCCAGCAGCCGCGGUAAUACGGAGGGUGCAAGCGUUAAUCGGAAUUACUGGGCGUAAAGCGCACGCAGGCGGUCUGUCAAGUCGGAUGUGAAAUCCCCCGGGCUCAACCU